UACGGGGGGGGCAAGCGUUGUUCGGAAUUACUGGGCGUAAAGGGCUCGUAGGCGGCAAACUAAGUCAUACGUGAAAUCCCUCGGCUUAACCGGGGAACUGCGUCUGAUACUGGAUGGCUUGAGAUUGGGAGAGGGAUGCGGAAUUCCAGGUGUAGCGGUGAAAUGCGUAGAUAUCUGGAGGAACACCGGUGGCGAAGGCGGCAUCCUGGACCAACACUGACGCCGAGGAGCGAAAUCCAGGGGAGCAAACGGG
rnacentral:rRNA from 1 species